CCAGCAAACAGAGCAGCCAAGCUAGCGCACGGGGGAGAGCUGCCGUGCUGUUUGCAUUGCCGAGAUCUCAAGAAAGAGAAAAAGAGGAAAAGUGAUGGAGCUUUAUCUGUGGACGUGGAUAUGUCUUUGACCAAUAAUAUGUUGAUGCAGUUGCACAGUUACUGAAAAAUUGUCAAGGAAUUACAGAGGAGGAACCUGAGCACUGCUGCUCAGAAGGAUCUUGCCAGAUGGCUGGUAACCUAUGAUCAACUUUAUCUUGUGCUUGUGAAUACUGGGAAGCAAAAUAAUGCAUUUUGUAUUGCUACUAAAUAGCAGAGGAGUUUAAUCAGGAUGAUCGGAAAUAUUUGUCCACUUUUAACCAAACUGCUGAUUGAUCAAGGGAAGGAUGCUUGACUUUAAGAAGCUCUUACCUGGCAGGACACCAGCCCUCAGCCAUCAGUCAAUACAUCAGAUGUCCAUCAUGCUUCCAGCGCUCACUAGUCAGGCAAACAGAAAAUUCCCAAGAUUUUGCAGUUCCUGAAGGCCAGG